CCCUUAGAUGUUCUGGGCCGCACGCGUGCUACACUGAGUGGAUCAGCGGGUCAGGUUACGCGAGAGCGUUUCCUGAUCUUCAAAUCCGCUCGUGAUGGGGAUUGACGGUUGCAAUUUUCCGUCAUGAACGAGGAAUACCUUGUAAGCGCGGGUCAUCAUCCCGCGCUGAAUACGUCCCUGCCCUUUGUACACACCGCCCGUCGCUCCUACCGAUUGAGUGGUCCGGUGAGGCUUUGGGAUCUAAGCGAAAAGAGCGUUUCGCUCCUUUUGCUGGGAGAACUCAGUCGAACCUUAUCAUUUAGAGGAAGGAGAAGUCGUAACA
rnacentral:rRNA from 1 species